AACCAUAGAAACCUGCGGAGUACCUGCGGAGGGAUCAUUUUAUAUAUUUUUAUUUAAAUAUUUAAAAUAAAUAUGUAUUCAAAAUCCAUCACUCUUAUAUAAACCAUUUAUAAAAAUAUAUAUAUCUUGUAUAUAUAUAUAAAUAAUAAUAACUUUCAGCAAUGGAUCU
rnacentral:misc_RNA from 1 species